UGCAGAUGAGGAGUGUCACAGCCUCUAAUUGCUGCCUCCGAAUUUCCGAUUCGUAUCGAAUGCUAUAAAAGAUAUUUCUAUUUUGAGAUUUGCUCAGUGAUCUCCAAAAUUCCUAGCUUCACGAUGAUAGGGCACCUGGUAUUGGUGGCCUUUUUGGCGAGUACCGCCAAUGCCGACGUAUUCCCUUUUGCUUUUGCAACUGAGCUGCUUGCACCCCCACCUCUACCUGCUCCGUACCCUGCGGCUCCAGCCCCUUAUGCGACCGAGAUACUCGCUCCGUACCCAGCAGCUCCCGCUCCUUACCAAGCUGAAGUAAUACCCGCCCCACCGCCUCCGCCCGUGGUCGAAUAUGGGCCACCACCUCCACCACCGCCACCUCCUCCACCGCCGCCACCACCACCACCGCCACCACCAGUGGCGUACGGACCCCCAGCUCCGUACCAAGCUGAGGUGGUUGUGGCCGCUCCUCCGCCGCCACCACCACCAGCGGUCGAAUAUGGACCACCACCACCAGCGGUCGAAUAUGGACCACCACCACCUCCACCAGUAGUCGAGUACGGACCACCACCGCCGCCGCCACCACCUCCACCACCACCACCCCCGCCACCGCCGCCACCACCAGUUGCCUACGGACCCCCAGCUCCGUACCAACCUGAAGUGGUUGUGCUCGCUCCGCCACCACCACCACCACCAGCGAUCGAAUAUGGACCACCACCACCCCACCAGUAGUUGAGUACGGGCCACCGCCACCGCCACCACCGCCACCACCACCUCCACCACCACCCCCGCCGCCGCCUCCACCACCAGUAGCCUACGGACCCCCAGCUCCGUACCAAGCUGAGGUGGUUGUGCUCGCUCCUCCUCCUCCACCGCCAGCUCCAUAUCCAGCUGCGCCAGUUGUCCUUGCUCCCCCACCUCCACCCCCGGUAGCUUAUGGCCCCCCGGCCGCAUAUCCUCAAGAAGGUCAUUUUUUCUGAUGUAAAUAUAUUGUUAGGAAUGUUUAAUAAAUUAUUUGUUUUGUGCUAAUGAUGUUAUUCGUCUUGAUGUGUUUUAAAGGCUAGAUUUUGUGAGGUAUGCAAAAGACUGUUCGAGUUGCUAACUUUUCAAUGAAGUCUGAGAUAGAGGGAAGCUGUUGGAAAGGAACCAGCAAUCACGCAAAUUCUAAAUAAUGAUACAAAUUCAGCGUCGAUUUUUCCCAUUGUAGAGACAACAAUUAGAACUGGAAAGGGAGCUGCAGCGGGGAAAGGGAGUCGGGGAUUAAACAAGAAUAGUUUAAACGUUGUAAAAAUACUAUAAAUACAAAUUAACAGAAAUGUGAAUACCAAUAAAAUAAAUAUAGUAUUCAUUUUA
rnacentral:lncRNA from 1 species